rnacentral:rRNA from 1 species
AUGAUAAGGGGUUCACCGAAUGGGGAAACCCAGUGUGAUUCGUCACACUAUCAUUAACUGAAUCCAUAGGUUAAUGAGGCGAACCGGGGGAACUGAAACAUCUAAGUACCCCGAGGAAAAGAAAUCAACCGAGAUUCCCCCAGUAGCGGCGAGCGAACGGGGAGGAGCCCAGAGCCUGAAUCAGCAUGUGUGUUAGUGGAAGCGUCUGGAAAGGCGCGCGAUACAGGGUGACAGCCCCGUACACAAAAGCGCAUGUGCUGUGAGCUCGAUGAGUAGGGCGGGACACGUGGUAUCCUGUCUGAAUAUGGGGGGACCAUCCUCCAAGGCUAAAUACUCCUGACUGACCGAUAGUGAACCAGUACCGUGAGGGAAAGGCGAAAAGAACCCCGGCGAGGGGAGUGAAAAAGAACCUGAAACCGUGUACGUACAAGCAGUGGGAGNNNNNNNNNNNNNNNNNNNNNNNNNNNNNNNNNNNNNNNNNNNNNNNNGGGCGUUAAGUUGCAGGGUAUAGACCCGAAACCCGGUGAUCUAGCCAUGGGCAGGUUGAAGGUUGGGUAACACUAACUGGAGGACCGAACCGACUAAUGUUGAAAAAUUAGCGGAUGACCUGUGGCUGGGGGUGAAAGGCCAAUCAAACCGGGAGAUAGCUGGUUCUCCCCGAAAGCUAUUUAGGUAGCGCCUCGUGAAUUCAUCUCCGGGGGUAGAGCACUGUUUCGGCUAGGGGGCCAUCCCGGCUUACCAACCCGAUGCAAACUGCGAAUACCGGAGAAUGUUAUCACGGGAGACACACGGCGGGUGCUAACGUCCGUCGUGAAGAGGGAAACAACCCAGACCGCCAGCUAAGGUCCCAAAGUCAUGGUUAAGUGGGAAACGAUGUGGGAAGGCCCAGACAGCCAGGAUGUUGGCUUAGAAGCAGCCAUCAUUUAAAGAAAGCGUAAUAGCUCACUGGUCGAGUCGGCCUGCGCGGAAGAUGUAACGGGGCUAAACCAUGCACCGAAGCUGCGGCAGCGANNNNNNNNNNNNNNNNNNNNNNNNNNNNNNNNNNNNNNNNNNNNNNNNNNNNUGCUGGAGGUAUCAGAAGUGCGAAUGCUGACAUAAGUAACGAUAAAGCGGGUGAAAAGCCCGCUCGCCGGAAGACCAAGGGUUCCUGUCCAACGUUAAUCGGGGCAGGGUGAGUCGACCCCUAAGGCGAGGCCGAAAGGCGUAGUCGAUGGGAAACGGGUUAAUAUUCCCGUACUUGGUGUUACUGCGAAGGGGGGACGGAGAAGGCUAUGUUGGCCGGGCGACGGUUGUCCCGGUUUAAGCGUGUAGGUGUGUGUUCCAGGUAAAUCCGGUUCACUUUAACACUGAGGCGUGACGACGAGGCACUACGGUGCUGAAGCAACAAAUGCCCUGCUUCCAGGAAAAGCCUCUAAGCAUCAGGUAACACGAAAUCGUACCCCAAACCGACACAGGUGGUCAGGUAGAGAAUACCAAGGCGCUUGAGAGAACUCGGGUGAAGGAACUAGGCAAAAUGGUGCCGUAACUUCGGGAGAAGGCACGCUGACACGUAGGUGAAGUGAUUUACUCAUGGAGCUGAAGUCAGUCGAAGAUACCAGCUGGCUGCAACUGUUUAUUAAAAACACAGCACUGUGCAAACACGAAAGUGGACGUAUACGGUGUGACGCCUGCCCGGUGCCGGAAGGUUAAUUGAUGGGGUCAGCGCAAGCGAAGCUCCUGAUCGAAGCCCCGGUAAACGGCGGCCGUAACUAUAACGGUCCUAAGGUAGCGAAAUUCCUUGUCGGGUAAGUUCCGACCUGCACGAAUGGCGUAAUGAUGGCCAGGCUGUCUCCACCCGAGACUCAGUGAAAUUGAACUCGCUGUGAAGAUGCAGUGUACCCGCGGCAAGACGGAAAGACCCCGUGAACCUUUACUAUAGCUUGACACUGAACAUUGAGCCUUGAUGUGUAGGAUAGGUGGGAGGCUUUGAAGUGUGGACGCCAGUCUGCAUGGAGCCGACCUUGAAAUACCACCCUUUAAUGUUUGAUGUUCUAACGUGGACCCGUAAUCCGGGUUGCGGACAGUGUCUGGUGGGUAGUUUGACUGGGGCGGUCUCCUCCUAAAGAGUAACGGAGGAGCACGAAGGUUGGCUAAUCCUGGUCGGACAUCAGGAGGUUAGUGCAAUGGCAUAAGCCAGCUUGACUGCGAGCGUGACGGCGCGAGCAGGUGCGAAAGCAGGUCAUAGUGAUCCGGUGGUUCUGAAUGGAAGGGCCAUCGCUCAACGGAUAAAAGGUACUCCGGGGAUAACAGGCUGAUACCGCCCAAGAGUUCAUAUCGACGGCGGUGUUUGGCACCUCGAUGUCGGCUCAUCACAUCCUGGGGCUGAAGUAGGUCCCAAGGGUAUGGCUGUUCGCCAUUUAAAGUGGUACGCGAGCUGGGUUUAGAACGUCGUGAGACAGUUCGGUCCCUAUCUGCCGUGGGCGCUGGAGAACUGAGGGGGGCUGCUCCUAGUACGAGAGGACCGGAGUGGACGCAUCACUGGUGUUCGGGUUGUCAUGCCAAUGGCACUGCCCGGUAGCUAAAUGCGGAAGAGAUAAGUGCUGAAAGCAUCUAAGCACGAAACUUGCCCCGAGAUGAGUUCUCCCUGAGACUUAGAGUCUCCUGAAGGAACGUUGAAGACGACGACGUUGAUAGGCCGGGUGUGUAAGCGCAGCGAUGCGUUGAGCUAACCGGUACUAAUGAACCGUGAGGCUUAACCUUACAA